CACUCAGCCCACAGCAGCUGCACUCUGUCUCCAACUUACACUUGAGAUCCAUGUACACAUAUAAGCCUGGUUUUCCCUGGUUUUUCCAGCACUCCCUGCCAAUUCUUCAGGGAUAAAGACGAGAAGCCAACUUCAGCUCAACAAGAAGAUUAAGAAAUUCAACAAAACAGCAUUAUACUGAAGUCACUUUUUCAGAAGAUUUUUUUGGUAUAUGGGAGAUUUUUUUCAAAUGGCAGCAAAUACAACAAGUCUUGGUAUUCAGCCUUCGGUGACUGAAGGACCAGUUUCUUCUGAAGAAGCUUCACCUCUUCCUGGCUCCACACCUGAGUUUAAAGAUAAGAAACAC